GCUAGUGUAGCAAAACCCGGUAUUGCAAAAGGCCUAAGCCCUUUGUACAGAGGUUCAACCCCUCUCGCUAGCU
rnacentral:tRNA from 1 species